rnacentral:lncRNA from 1 species
UUCCCAUAUGAAAAAAGAAUUUCACUCAGCAUCAGCUUUUGCAGUAUAAGAUAGCCAUGUUAUCGGAUGGUCAAAAGCUGUAAUAAAAAAGCUCAUAAAAGAGCAACCAAAUUUAUAGCAUAAGUAGCAUUGCCAGAAUAAGAGAACAACAUCCCAAAACCAAAUUAAAAUAUUUGAAAACUCAAAAAUACUAGUAUCCAAGUGGUUUUUAUUUUGCAGGAAUCAAAAACCUACUCCUCCUACCUUCACCGGUUCCAUCUGAUCACUCCGCAUGUUUGCCUCUGGGAGUAAAGCUCUCUUCCAGGGCCGCUUCUUGGGACUCUAAGGACAGAAGGGUCUCUAUUGCUAGGGUCAUAAAGGUCUCCACGGUUGUUGCAAGGGACUCCUCUUAUAUUGCUAGGGUCAUAAAGGUCUCCACGGUUGUUGCAAGGGACUCCUCUUAUAUUGCUAGGGUCAUAAAGGUCUCCACGGUUGUUGCAAGGGACUCCUCUUAUAUUGCUUCUUCUUGUGGGAACUUUGCUUCUUGGACAUCUGUCAAGGAUUUCUCUUUGUUGGAGAAUGAGGUGUUUCUUUUGCCUCCAAAACUCAGCAAAUCUACGCUUCCAAUCAA